AACGUGGCUACGCAGUCAGCGGAUGAGGGAGCUUGCUCCUGGAUUCAGCGGCGGACGGGUGAGUAAUGCCUAGGAAUCUGCCUGGUAGUGGGGGAUAACGUCCGGAAACGGGCGCUAAUACCGCAUACGUCCUGAGGGAGAAAGUGGGGGAUCUUCGGACCUCACGCUAUCAGAUGAGCCUAGGUCGGAUUAGCUAGUUGGUGGGGUAAAGGCCUACCAAGGCGACGAUCCGUAACUGGUCUGAGAGGAUGAUCAGUCACACUGGAACUGAGACACGGUCCAGACUCCUACGGGAGGCAGCAGUGGGGAAUAUUGGACAAUGGGCGAAAGCCUGAUCCAGCCAUGCCGCGUGUGUGAAGAAGGUCUUCGGAUUGUAAAGCACUCGAAGUUGGGAGGAAGGGCAGUAAGUUAAUACCUUGCUGUUCGGACGUUACCAACAGAAUAAGCACCGGCUAACUUCGUGCCAGCAGCCGCGGUAAUACGAAGGGUGCAAGCGUUAAUCGGAAUUACUGGGCGUAAAGCGCGCGUAGGUGGUUCAGCAAGUUGGAUGUGAAAUCCCCGGGCUCAACCUGGGAACUGCAUCCAAAACUACUGAGCUAGAGUACGGUAGAGGGUGGUGGAAUCGCCUGUGUAGCGGUGAAAUGCGUAUAUAUAGGAAGGAACACCAGUGGCGAAGGCGACCCCCUGGACUGAUACUGACACUGAGGUGCGAAAGCGUGGGGAGCAUACAGGAAUGGAUACCCUGUGA
rnacentral:rRNA from 1 species